ACAUGCUUAUAACAUAACGUUAAUGCACCAGAUCCCAUUAAAACUUUGGAGUUCAUUGCGCUCGGGCUAGAGUAGUACUGGGAUGGGUGAUCGCUCAAUAAGUCCUAGUAUUUUACAUGCC
rfam:Picea glauca, whole genome shotgun sequence.